rnacentral:rRNA from 1 species
AAAUUGAAGAGUUUGAUCAUGGCUCAGAUUGAACGCUGGCGGCAGGCCUAACACAUGCAAGUCGAACGGUAACAGGAAUCAGCUUGCUGAUUCGCUGACGAGUGGCGGACGGGUGAGUAAUGUCUGGGAAACUGCCUGAUGGAGGGGGAUAACUACUGGAAACGGUAGCUAAUACCGCAUAAUGUCGCAAGACCAAAGAGGGGGACCUUCGGGCCUCUUGCCAUCGGAUGUGCCCAGAUGGGAUUAGCUUGUUGGUGGGGUAACGGCUCACCAAGGCGACGAUCCCUAGCUGGUCUGAGAGGAUGACCAGCCACACUGGAACUGAGACACGGUCCAGACUCCUACGGG